AUGGAGUUUGUGCUUCGCUGGGUUUUCCUUGUUGCUGUUUUAAAAGGUGUCCAGUGUGAGGUACAGCUGGUGGAGUCUGGGGGAGGCCUGGGGAAGCCUGGGGAGUCCCUGAGACUCUCCUGUGCUGCCUCCGGAUUCACCUUCAGUGACUAUAUCAUGCACUGGAUCCGCCAGGCUCCAGGGAAGGGGCUGCAGUGGGUCUCAAGCAUUAGGUAUGAUGGAAGAAGUACAUACUAUGCAGACUCUGUGAAGGGCCGAUUCACCAUCUCCAGAGACAACACCAAGAACACAGUGGCUCUGCAGAUGAACAACAUGAAAGCCGAGGACACGGCCGUGUAUUACUGUGUGAAGGACACAGUGAGGGGCCAUCAGUAUGAGCCCAGACAGAAACCUACCUGGAAAAGGGGAUCAGCACCACCAGGAGAAAAACCUCCGCUCGGGGCCCAGAUGUGCGCCAAAUCCCUGCACACCAAAUCCCUGUGCGCCAACUCGUCCUGGAGGGGCUGCGCACGACUGCGCCUCCGUGCUCCUGGCUCGGCUGGUCCCUAG